AUGGUGACAACUGCUGGAGAAGCUGGAGCAUGUGAAGAGCCGACCGUGGAAGGCGGCGUCGUCGGACAUGUUGCGGUCGACGUCGACAGGUCGGCGGUGACGGCUGAUCGGCAGGGGCAGGUUGGAACCGGGAGCGGCUGCAGAAUUUGCCAGCUUGAGGACGGCGACCUGCCGGCGGAGAGCGGGAGCGGGCAGUUGGUAAACCUCGGCUGCGGCUGCCGAGGCGAGAUCGCGUCGGCGCACCGUGGUUCUCCGUGA
rnacentral:rRNA from 1 species